GGAAAACCCGGGGCGGAGUAGGGAGUUGGCGUGGGGCCGCGCGCGUUCGCGGACUGAGCGGGGGUCCAAGGUCAUGGUGGGCGCGAGUGCGCCCCGGGAGCCGCUAGCCACUCUGACAUUCCGCCCUAGGCUGCGUAGAAUCAUGCACGCUGCUCGGGAACCUGCCGCAUUGACCGAUGUGUCACAGCGCAGGGCUGUAACAGAAAUUAUCCCAGUAAUACAUAGAGUUCUGCACUCAGUAAUUCAUACCAAGGACUGCAAAUCUGAACAUUUUGCCAAUUUGUGUGUGUGUGUGUGUGUGUGUGUUCCCAUCUCUCCCAUUAAAAAAACGAAACCACUACGGGGCCCCGUGGGAAGAGCAGAGCUAUGGAGAUCGAGCCGGCUGUGAGGGGCUCUGGAAGCCCGUGCCAAGAUAGAGGCGAAGCUGAGACCCCUAGUGUCUUCCCUGGGACCGUAGGGUAGUGGAUGCACCUGCUCUAGCUCUGGUAAGAGAGGGUCUGUCCACGAACCUGGAGUUCACUGUUUUGACAAGGCUGGUUGCCCAGUGAGCCCCCCGGAUACACUUGCCCAUACUCCCUCCUAUGCCCCAUUUCCACCCAGAUGAACAUUUGAUCCUGCAGGAUAUAGAGCAUCAUUGAUGUUUUUCAGAGUUGAUCCAUAUUUGUUGGUUGGUUGGUUUGUUUGAGAUAGGGUCUCACUAUAUAGCCCUGACUGGCAUAGAACUCACCAUGUAGAUCAACAGGCUGGCCCAGAACUCAAGAGUUACCUUCCUCUGCAUCCCAAGAACUGAGAUUUAAUGUAUACUCCAGCAAAUUUUGAUUUUAUGAUUAUCAAUGUUAAGAACACUGAUUUAUAUAAACACACAGCUACAAAAUGGCAGAGUGUGUCUAAGAUUAUCUCAAUUGUUGGCAAGCUUAUCUCAAAAAUAAAUGUAAGCAAAAA